rnacentral:tRNA from 1 species
GAGGGUGUAAUUCAGUGGUAGAGUGUUUAACUGCGCAUCAAGCGGACCUUGGUUCAAAGCCAAGUACCACCU